rnacentral:tRNA from 1 species
AAGGCUUUAGCUUAAUAAAAGUGUCUGAGUUGCAUUCAGGUGGUGUUGGAUAAAGUCCUGCAAGUCUUA